rnacentral:rRNA from 1 species
AUUGAACGCUGGCGGCAGGCCUAACACAUGCAAGUCGAACGGCAGCACAGAAGAGCUUGCUCUUUGGGUGGCGAGUGGCGGACGGGUGAGUAAUGUCUGGGAAACUGCCCGAUGGAGGGGGAUAACUACUGGAAACGGUAGCUAAUACCGCAUAACGUCGCAAGACCAAAGUGGGGGACCUUCGGGCCUCACACCAUCGGAGGUGCCCAGAUGGGAUUAGCUAGUAGGGGGGGUAAUGGCUCACCUAGGCGACGAUCCCUAGCUGGUCUGAGAGGAUGACCAGCCACACUGGAACUGAGACACGGUCCAGACUCCUACGGGAGGCAGCAGUGGGGAAUAUUGCACAAUGGGCGCAAGCCUGAUGCAGCCAUGCCGCGUGUAUGAAGAAGGCCUUCGGGUUGUAAAGUACUUUCAGCGGGGAGGAAGGCGGUGAGGUUAAUAACCUUGCCGAUUGACGUUACCCGCAGAAGAAGCACCGGCUAACUCCGUGCCAGCAGCCGCCGUAA